GAAAGCGGUGCUAAUACCGGAUAAGACCAUAGCCGUUUCGGCGGCAGAGGUAAAAGCUGACCUCUCCAUGGAAGUUAGCGUUCGAAGACGGGCCCGCGUCCUAUCAGCUUGUUGGUGGGGUAAAAGCCUACCAAGGCAGCGACGGGUAGCUGGUCUGAGAGGAUGAUCAGCCACACUGGAACUGGAACACGGUCCAGACUCCUACGGGAGGCAGCAGUGAGGAAUUUUGCGCAAUGGGGGAAACCCUGACGCAGCAACGCCGCGUGGGUGAAGAAGGCUUUCGGGUCGUAAAGCCCUGUCAGGUGGGAAGAAACUCUUCAGUACUAAUAAUGCUGAAGCCUGACGGUACCACCAGAGGAAGCACCGGCCAACUCCGUGCCAGCAGCCGCGGUAAUACGGAGGGUGCAAGCGUUGUUCGGAAUUAUUGGGCGUAAAGAGCGUGUAGGCGGCUUGGUAAGUCAGAUGUGAAAGCCCUGGGCUCAACCCAGGAAGUGCAUUUGAAACUACCAGACUUGAGUACGGGAGAGGAGGGGGGAAUUCCCGGUGUAGAGGUGAAAUUCGUAGAUAUCGGGAGGAAUACCGGUGGC
rnacentral:rRNA from 1 species